AUGUUUCCUGUAGCUGUGCUGCUGCUGUUGGCAGCUGGAUCAUAUGUGAAGUGUGAAACUUUGACGCAGCCAGCCUCUGUGACUGUGCAGCCAGGUCAACCUCUGACCAUCAGCUGCCAGGUCUCUUAUUCUGUCAGCAGUGUUGGGAAGGAUACUUUCAAAACCAGCUAUGCUACAGCUUGGAUCAGACAGCCUGCAGGAAAAGGACUGGAGUGGAUUGGGUGGAAACAUACAACAGCUUCAUACUAUAAAGAUUCACUAAAGAACAAGUUCAGUAUCGAAUUAGACACUUCCAGCAAAAUAGUGACUGUAAAGGGACAGAACGUGCAGCCUGGAGACACUGCUGUGUAUUACUGUGCC